rnacentral:rRNA from 1 species
AACGAACGCUGGCGGCAUGCCUAACACAUGCAAGUCGAACGAUGCCUUCGGGCAUAGUGGCGAACGGGUGCGUAACGCGUGGGAAUCUGCCUUUCGGUUCGGAAUAACUCAGGGAAACUUGAGCUAAUACCGGAUAACGUCGCAAGACCAAAGAUUUAUCACCGCACGAUGAGCCCGCGUAGGAUUAGCUAGUUGGUGAGGUAAAGGCUCACCAAGGCGACGAUCCUUAGCUGGUCUGAGAGGAUGAUCAGCCACACUGGGACUGAGACACGGCCCAGACUCCUACGGGAGGCAGCAGUGGGGAAUAUUGGACAAUGGGCGAAAGCCUGAUCCAGCAAUGCCGCGUGAGUGAUGAAGGCCUUAGGGUUGUAAAGCUCUUUUACCCGGGAAGAUAAUGACGGUACCGGGAGAAUAAGCCCCGGCUAACUCCGUG